rnacentral:rRNA from 1 species
GACGAACGCUGGCGGCGUGCCUAACACAUGCGAGUCGAACGGAAAGGCCCUGCUUUUGUGGGGUGCUCGAGUGGCGAACGGGUGAGUAACACGUGAGUAACCUGCCCUUGACUUUGGGAUAACUUCAGGAAACUGGGGCUAAUACCGGAUAGGAUCUCCUGCUGCAUGGUGGGGGUUGGAAAGUUUCGGCGGUUGGGGAUGGACUCGCGGCUUAUCAGCUUGUUGGUGGGGUAGUGGCUUACCAAGGCUUUGACGGGUAGCCGGCCUGAGAGGGUGACCGGCCACAUUGGGACUGAGAUACGGCCCAGACUCCUACGGGAGGCAGCAGUGGGGAAUAUUGCACAAUGGGCGGAAGCCUGAUGCAGCAACGCCGCGUGCGGGAUGACGGCCUUCGGGUUGUAAACCGAUUUCGCCUGUGACGAAGCGUGAGUGACGGUAAUGGGUAAAGAAGCACCGGCUAACUACGUG